rnacentral:rRNA from 1 species
CCUACGGGAGGCAGCAGUGGGGAAUAUUGGACAAUGGGCGAAAGCCUGAUCCAGCCAUGCCGCGUGUGUGAAGAAGGUCUUCGGAUUGUAAAGCACUUUAAGUUGGGAGGAAGGGCCAUNACCUAAUACGUGAUGGUUUUGACGUUACCGACAGAAUAAGCACCGGCUAACUCUGUGCCAGCAGCCGCGGUAAU